rnacentral:rRNA from 1 species
GUGGGGAAUAUUGGUCAAUGGACGGUAGUCUGAACCAGCCAAGUCGCGUGCGGGAAGAAGGCCCUCCGGGUCGUAAACCGCUUUAGCCGGGGAGUAACGUGUGGGACGUGUCCCGCAGUGAGAGUACCCGGAGAAUAAGCAUCGGCUAACUCCGUGCCAGCAGCCGCGGUAAUACGGAGGAUGCGAGCGUUAUCCGGAUUUAUUGGGUUUAAAGGGUGCGCAGGCGGCAGGUCAAGUCAGCGGUAAAAUCUCGGCGCUCAACGCCGUUCGGCCGUUGAAACUGUCCGGCUCGAGUGCGUGGGAGGAUGGCGGAAUGCGCGGUGUAGCGGUGAAAUGCAUAGAUAUCGCGCAGAACCCCGAUUGCGAAGGCAGCUGUCCACCACGCCACUGACGCUCAUGCACGAAAGCGUGGGUAUCGAACAGG